rnacentral:rRNA from 1 species
GGGGGACGGAGAAGGCUAGGUGGGCCAGGCGACGGUUGUCCUGGUUCAAGUGCGUAGGCUUGAGAGUUAGGUAAAUCCGGCUCUCUUUAAGGCUGAGACACGACGUCGAGCUGCUACGGCAGUGAAGUCAUUGAUGCCAUGCUUCCAGGAAAAGCCUCUAAGCUUCAGAUAGUCAGGAAUCGUACCCCAAACCGACACAGGUGGUCGGGUAGAGAAUACCAAGGCGCUUGAGAGAACUCGGGUGAAGGAACUAGGCAAAAUGGUACCGUAACUUCGGGAGAAGGUACGCUCUUGAUGGUGAAGUCCCUCGCGGAUGGAGCUGACGAGAGUCGCAGAUACCAGGUGGCUGCAACUGUUUAUUAAAAACACAGCACUGUGCAAAAUCGCAAGAUGACGUAUACGGUGUGACGCCUGCCCGGUGCCGGAAGGUUAAUUGAUGGGGUUAGCGCAAGCGAAGCUCUUGAUCGAAGCCCCGGUAAACGGCGGCCGUAACUAUAACGGUCCUAAGGUAGCGAAAUUCCUUGUCGGGUAAGUUCCGACCUGCACGAAUGGCGUAAUGAUGGCCACGCUGUCUCCACCCGAGACUCAGUGAAAUUGAAAUCGCUGUGAAGAUGCAGUGUACCCGCGGCUAGACGGAAAGACCCCGUGAACCUUUACUACAGCUUGGCACUGAACAUUGAACCUACAUGUGUAGGAUAGGUGGGAGGCUAUGAAGACGUGACGCCAGUUGCGUUGGAGCCGUCCUUGAAAUACCACCCUUGUAUGUUUGAUGUUCUAACUUAGACCCAUUAUCUGGGUUGAGGACAGUGCCUGGUGGGUAGUUUGACUGGGGCGGUCUCCUCCCAAAGAGUAACGGAGGAGCACGAAGGUGGGCUAAUCACGGUUGGACAUCGUGAGGUUAGUGCAAUGGCAUAAGCCCGCUUAACUGCGAGAAUGACGGUUCGAGCAGGUGCGAAAGCAGGUCAUAGUGAUCCGGUGGUUCUGUAUGGAAGGGCCAUCGCUCAACGGAUAAAAGGUACUCCGGGGAUAACAGGCUGAUACCGCCCAAGAGUUCAUAUCGACGGCGGUGUUUGGCACCUCGAUGUCGGCUCAUCACAUCCUGGGGCUGAAGUCGGUCCCAAGGGUAUGGCUGUUCGCCAUUUAAAGUGGUACGCGAGCUGGGUUUAGAACGUCGUGAGACAGUUCGGUCCCUAUCUGCCGUGGGCGUUGGAAGAUUGAAGGGGGCUGCUCCUAGUACGAGAGGACCGGAGUGGACGAACCUCUGGUGUUCGGGUUGUGUCGCCAGACGCAUUGCCCGGUAGCUAAGUUCGGAAUUGAUAAGCGCUGAAAGCAUCUAAGCGCGAAGCGAGCCCUGAGAUGAGUCUUCCCUGA